rnacentral:rRNA from 1 species
GACGAACGCUGGCGUCGUGCUUAACACAUGCAAGUCGAACGGAAAGGCUCUUCUUGCAGGGUCCUCGAGUGGAUAACGGGUGAGUAACACGUGGGUGAUCUUCCCUGCACUUCGGGAUAAGCCUGGGAAACUGGGUCUAAUACCGGAUAGGAGCCAUUUUUAGUGUGAUGGUUGGAAAGUUUUUUCGGUGUAGGAUGAGCUCGCGGCCUAUCAGCUUGUUGGUGGGGUAAUGGCCUACCAAGGCGGCGACGGGUAGCCGGCCUGGGAGGGUGGACGGCCACAUUGGGACUGAGAUACGGCCCAGACUCCUACGGGAGGCAGCAGUGGGGAAUAUUGCACAAUGGGCGCAAGCCUGAUGCAGCGACGCCGCGUGGGGGAUGACGGCCUUCGGGUUGUAAACUCCUUUCGCUAGGGACGAAGCUUUUUGUGACGGUACCUAGAUAAGAAGCACCGGCUAACUACGUG